ACCAUAGCGUCAAGCUAAGAUGUGCCCAUGGCGUCUGGCUCCUCGCUACUUGCUCGCUCCAAAGCAUGCCAUCUCAGUUACGGCCGGCAGGUCUCACGAGCUCAGGAGCCUACGAGGAUCAUCUAGUUCACAGCCAUCAGGUGCCAGAACCCUGGAGCGCUUGGAUUGGUGAUCCCAUCGGUGCGCGUCUGCUCAGUAAUUCAUCAAGGAUCCUGAAGCCUGCAGUCAGCGGGGAUGAUCAUGGAAAAGGUGAAGCAACGAAUAUGGUUUGGGACGGAGUCAGCGUCGUCGUCGUGUUCAGCUAGGGCCAUCGAGCGUGCAGGCGUGCAGUGCUUGCCAGGACAGGCAAGAAUGGCGCAGCGUACAGCGUUUCCGUUUGUCGGGGAAGCUGCACAGCAAGUAUGAUCAAGUCCAUGGCUCAAUUUAUUAAGGGAAUAAAGGAGGCAGCACGUUAAUUAUCAAUGAGAAAAUUCUAGUGAAGUUUGGUACGCCAAGGCCCAAGGGUGUCCUCGACGCAUCGAUACAGGUGUGCCCUGUUACUCUACCUCUCUUUUUUUUAAGUCUGCC
rnacentral:lncRNA from 1 species